AUUGAACGCUAGCGGGAUGCUUUACACAUGCAAGUCGAACGGCAGCGCGGACUUCGGUCUGGCGGCGAGUGGCGAACGGGUGAGUAAUGUACCGGAACGUGCCCAGUAGCGGGGGAUAACUACGCGAAAGCGUAGCUAAUACCGCAUACGCCCUACGGGGGAAAGCAGGGGAUCGUAAGACCUUGCACUAUUGGAGCGGCCGAUAUCGGAUUAGCUAGUUGGUGAGGUAACGGCUCACCAAGGCGACGAUCCGUAGCUGGUUUGAGAGGACGACCAGCCACACUGGGACUGAGACACGGCCCAGACUCCUACGGGAGGCAGCAGUGGGGAAGUUUGGACAAUGGGGGCAACCCUGAUCCAGCAAUCCCGCGUGUGAGAUGAAGGCCUUCGGGUUGUAAAGCACUUUUGGCAGGAAAGAAACGUCGCGGGCUAAUACCCCGUGGAACUGACGGUACCUGCAGAAUAAGCACCGGCUAACUACGUG
rnacentral:rRNA from 1 species